GACGAACGCUGGCGGCGUGCUUAACACAUGCAAGUCGAACGGUAAGGCCCUGCUGUUGUGGGGUGUUCGAGUGGCGAACGGGUGAGUAACACGUGAGUAACCUGCCCUUGACUUUGGGAUAACUUCAGGAAGCUGGGGCCAAUACCGGCUAGGCGCUCCAGCCCCAUGGUGGGGGUUGGUAAGUUGCGGCGGUUGGGGAUGGACUCGCGGCGUAUCAGCUUGUUGGUGGGGUAGUGGCUUACCAAGGCGUUGACGGGUAGCCGGCCUGAGAGGGUGACCGGCCACACUGGGACUGAGAUACGGCCCAGACUCCUACGGGAGGCAGCAGUGGGGAAUAUUGCACAAUGGGCGGAAGCCUGAUGCAGCGACGCCGCGUGCGGGAUGACGGCCUUCGGGUUGUAAACCGCUUUCGCCUGUGACGAAGCGUGAGUGACGGUAAUGGGUAAAGAAGCACCGGCUAACUACGUG
rnacentral:rRNA from 1 species